rnacentral:misc_RNA from 1 species
GAUGAAGAACGUAGCGAAACGCGAUAUGUAAUGUGAAUUGCAGAAUUCAGUGAAUCAUCGAAUCUUUGAACGCACAUGGCGCCUUCCAGUAUCCUGGGAGGCAUGCCUGUCCGAGCGUCGUUUCAACCCUCGAGCCCCCGUGGCCCGGCGUUGGGGAUCUGCCACGGCAGGCCCCUAAAACCAGUAGCGGACCCGAAGGCCCUCUCCUUUGCGCAGUAGCAUCAGCCUCGCAUUGGGAUCCCUCGGCGUCCUGCCUCUAAACCCCCCACAAGUCCGCUCCGGCGGCACCAAGGUUGACCUCGGAUCAGGUAGGAAUACCCGCUGAACUUAAGCAUAUCAAUAAGCGGAGGA